rnacentral:rRNA from 1 species
AUUGAACGCUGGCGGCAUGCUUUACACAUGCAAGUCGAACGGUAACAGGCCGCAAGGUGCUGACGAGUGGCGAACGGGUGAGUAAUGCAUCGGAACGUGCCCAGUCGUGGGGGAUAACGCAGCGAAAGCUGUGCUAAUACCGCAUACGAUCUGUGGAUGAAAGCGGGGGACCGUAAGGCCUCGCGCGAUUGGAGCGGCCGAUGUCAGAUUAGGUAGUUGGUGGGGUAAAGGCUCACCAAGCCGACGAUCUGUAGCUGGUCUGAGAGGACGACCAGCCACAAUGGGACUGAGACACGGCCAAGAGUCCGACGGGAGGCAGCAGUGGGGAAGUUUGGACAAUGGGUGCAAGCAUGAUCCAGCAAUGCCGCGUGCAGGAAGAAGGCCUUCGGGUUGUAAACUGCUUUUGUACGGAGCGAAAAGGCUCUCUCUAAUACAGGGGGCUCAUGACGGUACCGUAAGAAUAAGCACCGGCUAACUACGUGCCAGCCGCCGCAGUAAGAC